rnacentral:rRNA from 1 species
AACGAACGCUGGCGGCGCGCCUAAUACAUGCAAGUCGAGCGAGAAGACGUAGCAAUACGUUUGUAAAGCGGCGAACGGGUGAGGAAUACAUGGGUAACCUACCCUCGAGUGGGGAAUAACUAGCCGAAAGGUUAGCUAAUACCGCGUACGCUCCUUGGACUUCGAUUCGGGGAGGAAAGCGAUACCGUGGGUAUCGCGCUCUUGGAUGGGCUCAUGUCCUAUCAGCUUGUUGGUGAGGAACGGCUCACCAAGGCUUCGACGGGUAGCUGGUCUGAGAGGACGAUCAGCCACACUGGCACUGCGACACGGGCCAGACUCCUACGGGAGGCAGCAGUAAGGAAUAUUGCGCAAUGGGCGAAAGCCUGACGCAGCGACGCCGCGUGGGGGAUGAAGGUCUUCGGAUUGUAAACCCCUUUCGGGAGGGAAGAUGGAACGAGCAAUCGUUCGGACGGUACCUCCAGAAGCAGCCACGGCUAACUUCGUGCCAGCCGCCGCCGUAAC